UACGUAGGGGGCUAGCGUUGUCCGGAAUCAUUGGGCGUAAAGCGCGUGUAGGCGGUCCGGUAAGUCCGCUGUGAAAGUCGGGGGCUCAACCCUCGGAUGCCGGUGGAUACUGUCGGGCUUGAGUACGGAAGAGGCGAGUGGAAUUCCUGGUGUAGCGGUGAAAUGCGCAGAUAUCAGGAGGAACACCUGCGGCGAAGGCGGGUUGCUGGGCUGAUACUGACGCUGAGGCGCGAAAGCCAGGGGAGCGAACGGG
rnacentral:rRNA from 1 species